UUGGAAAAGCUGUAAGUCCUACCCUACAGAGACAGCAGGGUUUGAAAUCAGAAGGAUGAGCUGAAGAAACAAAGAGAACACUUUACAGAAAUGCACGUAGGUGUGCAUGUGGGCAUUAAACUUUUCACUAAGGAGAAACACAAAAUACAGCACUUGGGAGUAACUGACUGAGCAAAAUACAAGACGGGAAAGGACUGAUUGGGCAGCAGUUCCACACAAGGGAUCAGAGGUCACACACCAGACAUGCGUCAGCAGUGCCACUAGGUUGCAAGAAAAGCAAAUAUCGUCCUGGAAAAGUGUCAAUAGGAAGGCUUUGUUCAAGUGGAGUACCGUGUCCAGUCUAAAGGAUUAGUUCCAGGAACACCAGGAACCAAGUGGACAGAGCACAGAGGAAAGUGCGUAGAGCUCUCUGAGCCUGGGAAACAUUGGAACGACCCGGCCGUUCAUCUACAAGUGAAAACACUGUGGGGAAACAUGGUAAUGAGCUUCAAAUGUCUAAAGGUUAUAGCAGGAAGAACAGACUGAAGUGGACUAAAAUUGCGACCAGGGAGAAUAAGGUUAGACAUUAGGAAGAGCUUGCUAUCAGGAGGGCAAUUAAUGGAACCAAUUCCUUGGAGAGGCUGGAAAGAAGUUUCUGAGAAUAUGAUAGACACAUCUGUUUCAAGAAUGGAUCGGGCCUCCUUAGAUACGCCUUGAGAGCAGAAGAUGGACAAGCUGACUUUUCAAGGGCUAUUUUCCCUGUCUGUUCACCAUGACUUCUUUAAUGCAACGUUCAAAAAACCUUUGAAUUUCUCCAGAAGCAAAAUACAGACAUGUCUGCAUCAUUUGAGGGUGGUUUUUUUUCAGUAUAUCUACUGCUCUCCAAUUAAAAAUGACUGCCUCUAAAGUUAAAAAUAGAAGUCCAAAACCAACACCUCUACAUCAACUGAGAGAAAAGAUACAAAGCAGAAAAAUAGCUUUUGGGGAAUCAAUAGAAGUAUUUUCUAGAAUAGAAGAAAAACAGUAACAAGAUGAGUAUUCAGAACCUUCAUGAAUGAGUUACUGCCAGACUAAAGUAAAUGAAUGCUAAAGACUUUUAUAAAGACUUGCUUCAUGACAAAGCAGAUGAUCAGGCUUUAGCAAAAUUGCACUGCUUUUUUCUGUAGAUACAACAUUUUAGAAUAAAAUAUUUAAUUCAUUCUUCUAACUUAAUAAUUGCAGCUACUGAGAUGGAACAGAUUAAUUAUUCUAACUAUUUUAAGCCCAGCAGUAACAGCAAGGAGUCUUUAGGCUUCCAGCUAACCAUGAUCUGCUCUCUGGACUCCAAGAAAUAAAAGUUUUAAAUGUUCAGCACAGCACUGGGAAUGAGAGACUGUGAUCUAGAGCACCAACCCUCAAGUCCGCAUGUCCCUGAGGGAACCACUGCUCUCACUGAUAUCCAGGACUACAAGUGACACACUGAAUGAAGCUAAAAAAAGUGGAGAUCACACCAUCCUGUGUUCCUUCUCCUCUUCCUCUCCUUUGCACUGCAGAGCACACUAUGUACCUGCACUCAGUCCAGCUGCAAGAAUAGUUAUCAACCACCAGAUGUUUGUGAUCACAAAUUUAGCAAAAUGUACUACGUCCAGAGCUGAGCUGAUGAAAGACACAUGAGCAUUCUUCAUGCAUUUCAUGUAAAAUAGCUUGGGUUAUUUAAAAAUAACUUUGAAAUCUAUUGACUUUGUGCUGAAACCAAUGAAGAAACUUCACAUGAUGGGUACUGCCAGUUUGACUGAGGGAGCAGUAACACCUCAAGGUAGCAUAACCUUUCUGCAACAAGUUUCUCAUCAUGGCAUUAAUGUGUGUUUGGAACCUAAGACCAUGCUUGGCUCAAAAGGAUUACACCAUCAAAGACAGUGGCUACGAAGAACUGACUGAAGAAAAUCCAGAUGCCUACCCACUCAGAUUUACACAACCAAUUAUAUUACCAGUUCAGCAUUCCUCCAUUCCUGGCUUUUGCAUGAUUAGCCAAAGAUAGAUAAAAGGCUGAAUUAGUCAUAUAAGUUCUGAUAAAGAGUCACAGAUUCAUUAUAUCAACUUCAUACAUUUCAUGGGCACAUAAUAACAAGGAAAUGUGUAACUUCUACUGCUGGAAUAUUUUUUGUAAUAAUCAUGUGGUCUCAUUUGGGGGUUAUCAUCUACACAUGGCAGUGUGUAUGACUGUAUCUGCACGUACAGAAGCAUGAAACCAGAUUAAGCAAUAUUCUAAAGCACUACAAUCCUACAUGCUUUGCAAAAUACUUGUAUUUGUACAGUCCUUCUUUAAACUAAUAGAGGUAGAAUACUGCUUUUUAAGUAAUUUGAUAAUAAGAAAUAUGAAACGUUGAGAUAAGAUGUUGUAAUAAAUAUGCUGGCAUGUUUUAUACUCUGUAACUAAUAUAAAACCUUACCAUUGUU